rnacentral:rRNA from 1 species
UGUCAAAUAGUUGUUGGGNGUUACUANNNUNNGUAACGCAGCUAACGCGUGAAGUUGACCGCCUGGGGAGUACGGCCGCAAGGUUAACACUCAAAGGAUUUGACGGGGACCCGCACAAGCGGUGGAUGAUGUGGAUUAUUUCGAUGCAACGCGAAAACCCUUACCUACCCUUGACAUGUCUGGAACUUGUGAGAGAUCNCUUGGUGCCUUNGGGAGNCAGAACACAGGUGCUGCAUGGCUGUCGCCAGCUCGUGUCGUGAGAUGUUGGGUUAAGUCCCGCAACGAGCGCAACCCUUGUCAUUAAUUGCCAUCAUUUAGGUGGGCCCUUUAAAGAGACUGCCGGGGACAAACCGGGGGGAGGGGGGGAUGACGUCAAGUCCUCAUGGCCCUUAUGGGGAGGGCUUCACACG